rnacentral:rRNA from 1 species
GGCCCUUUUCUAGGGCUAGGUGUUGUGGGAGGUCUCUUGGUGGUUUAGUUGUAGUCAUCACUUAGAGAGGGGGCGUACAUAAAGCAUUGGCCUCACUUUUCCGAUCCUUUCGUACUAGGAACAGUUCAUCAUAGAUAGAAACCGACCUGGAUUGCUCCGGUCUGAACUCAGAUCACGUAGGACUGUUAAUCGUUGAACAAACGAACCCUUAAUAGCGGCUGCACCAUUAGGGUGUCCUGAUCCAACAUCGAGGUCGUAAACCCCCUUGUCGAUAUGGGCUCUUGGAGGGGAUUGCGCUGUUAUCCCUGGGGUAGCUUGGUCCAUUGGUCAAUUAUAUUGGGUCUGGUCACUAUUAGUACGUUGAGGGGUUGCUCUUAGUUAAGAGGUGGUGGUCUUGUUUUUGGAGGGUGUGUUUUUCUCCAAGGUCGCCCCAACCGAAAAAAUGCGAGCCAGAGUUUUGUUGGAGGUGGGCCUGGUAGGUUGGGCUUUGUCAUGGGGUGGCUGCUGAUUUUUAAGUUCCACAGGGUCUUCUCGUCUUAUGUUCACAUUCCUGCUUUUGCACAGGGAGAUCAAUUUCACUGAUUAUCUGUAAGAGACAGUUAAGACCUCGUUUAGCCAUUCAUACAAGUCUCGAUUUAUGGGACAAUUGAUUGCGCUACCUUUGCACGGUUAGGAUACCGCGGCCGUUGAACAUAGGGUCACUGGGCAGGCAUCACCUUCAAUACUUGGUUCAGCUGAAGGCUAUGUUUUUGGUAAACAGUCGGGCCUUGGGAUUUGCCUAGUUCCUUUUACAGAUUUUAAUCUUUCUAGUGGGCGCUCCUGGGUUGGGUUAACAGGGGGUAAAAUACAUGGUCUUGUUGGAGUGGGGGUAUUAGUUGUCUGUUAAUAAUGGGGUAUGUAAGUUUGCGCUUGAGAGGGGUGUGCCCUAGUUACUCAUUUUAGCAUUAAUUCUCCUAUGGUCAUAGGUUAACCUGUUGGUGGGAAGGGAGUCAUAGGGUUUUAGGAUUUUUGUGAAGGGUGGAGCUUUGACGCACUCUUUGUUGAUGGCUGCUUGAAGGCCCACAAUUAUUGUUUGUAGGGUGAGUUAUCCGCUAGAGGAGGUUGUAUUCUGUUUUAAAGGAGCUGUACCCCCUUUAAAUUACUCUUGACUGCUCUCAUUAGGGUAGCUUGGGGUUCUUGGAGGAGGUGUCAAGGCAGAACUUAGAUUCAUUUCACAGGUAACCAGCUAUCACCCAGCUCGAUUGGCUUUUCACCUCUACUAACAAGUCGUCCCACUCUUUUGCAACAGAGACGGGUUCGCUCAAGGAUAGCUGCUUGCAAGUAGCUCGCUUGGGUUUCGGGAUAGCAAGCUUAAGGUCACUUUGCUUGGCUGUUCUUGCUAAAUCAUGAUGCAAAAGGUACAAGGGUAUAUCUUUGCUGUUUGUUGCUUGGCUUGUUCACUUCUAUUUCAUCUUUCCCUUACGGUACGAGUCUCUAUUGCGCCAGAUAAUCUUUUCUAUCGCCUAUACUAAGUUGGGAGAAUGGUUUAGUUUGGUGGUUUAGUAGGUUUUUAAGUAUGCUUGUCUGUAGGGGGGUCGGGCUAGAGUUGGGCU